CCAAUAGCGUAUAUUAAAGUUGUUGCAGUUAAAACGCUCGUAGUUGAAUUUCGGGAUCAAUACGUCGGUCGUGCCUCUGGUAUGCACUGGUGUUAUUGAUUUCUCCCUUCUGAGGAACCGCGAUGUCAUUCAUUUGGUGUCGUGGGAAAUCAGGACUGUUACUUUGAAAAAAUUAGAGUGUUUAAAGCAGGCAUACGCUUGAAUACAUUAGCAUGGAAUAAUGAAAUAGGACGUUCGAACCUAUUUUGUUGGUUUCUAGGAUCAACGUAAUGAUUAAUAGGGAUAGUUGGGGGCAUUAGUAUUCAAUUGUCAGAGGUGAAAUUCUUGGAUUUAUUGAAGACUAACUACUGCGAAAGCAUUUGCCAAGGAUGUUUUCAUUAAUCAAGAACGAAAGUUAGGGGAUCGAAGACGAUCAGAUACCGUCGUAGUCUUAACCAUAAACUAUGCCGACUAGGGAUCGGAUGAUGUUAAUUUUUUAAUGACUCAUUCGGCGCCUUACG
rnacentral:rRNA from 1 species